GCCAGCAUGGUGCAAUGGUUUGAGUGUUGAAUUAUGACUCUGGAGACCAGGGUUCGAUUUCCUGCUCUGCCA